AUUCUUGCAAAACACAUUGAUUCUCAAAAAAAUUCUUCAUUCUCAGGCGCAAAAUGACAGUUAAAGUUUCAUAUUUCUUUCUUUGCUUCACAAUUUUAUUUCUCAUCACAUCCGAACAUGGUUUUAAGGCUCAGGUCAGUGCACAGAACAUGGCCUGCAAAAUCCCUAAGGAUUGUUGGCAUUUGAUGUGCCCCUCUGAAUGUCAUGCGACAAAAUGCGUUCAAGGAGUAUGCGAAUGCGUUUGUGUUCCACCGCAGAAAGAACAUAUUUGAUAACAGAAAUAUUAAGCAGAAUAAAGUUAUGAUGAGGCUCAUUUUAUGGUUCAAAACAAUAAUUUAAUGUCUCUAAAACUAUUUAUUGUAAUAAGAGGUUGAAGUGUUGAGAUAAUUAAGUAUAUCAAAUAUAACUUCCUCAAA